GGGGGUGUAGCUCACUGGUAGAGCAUUUGACUGCAGAUCAAGAGGUCCCCAGUUCAACUCUGGGUACCCCUU